AUUCGAAGCUUCGAAUCAAUUGAUAAAUCUUUCGCCUUUUAUUAAAGAUUUCUGUGGUGGAGGACAUUGUGAGUUUAUUGUAUUUUUGGGUGCUCUGCUCACAACAGAGCU